rnacentral:rRNA from 1 species
UACGGGGGGGGCAAGCGGUUGUUCGGAAUUACUGGGCGUAAAGGGCUUAGUAGGUGGCCAACUAAGUCAGACGUGAAAUCCCUCGGACUUAACCGGGGACUGCGUCUGAUACUGGAUGGCUAGAGUGUGGGAGAGGGAUGCGGAAUUCCAGGUGUAGCGGUGAAAUGCGUAGAUAUCUGGAGGAACACCGGUGGCGAAGGCGGCAUCCUGGACCACGACUGACACUGAAAAGCGAAAGCCAGGGGAGCAAACGGG